rnacentral:tRNA from 1 species
ACCUGAGUGGCUCAGUCGGUUAAGCGUCUGACUUCGGCUCAGGUCAUGAUCUCAUGGUUCGUGAGUUCAAGCCCCACGUCAGGCU